GACGAACGCUGGCGGCGUGCUUAACACAUGCAAGUCGAACGGAAAGGCCCUGCUUUUGUGGGGUGCUCGAGUGGCGAACGGGUGAGUAACACGUGAGUAACCUGCCCUUGACUUUGGGAUAACUUCAGGAAGCUGGGGCUAAUACCGGAUAGGAGCUCCUGCUGCAUGGUGGGGGUUGGAAAGUUUCGGCGGUUGGGGAUGGACUCGCGGCUUAUCAGCUUGUUGGUGGGGUAGUGGCUUACCAAGGCUUUGACGGGUAGCCGGCCUGAGAGGGUGACCGGCCACAUUGGGACUGAGAUACGGCCCAGACGCCUACGGGAGGCAGCAGUGGGGAAUAUUGCACAAUGGGCGGAAGCCUGAUGCAGCAACGCCGCGUGCGGGAUGACGGCCUUCGGGUUGUAAACCGCUUUCGCCUGUGACGAAGCGUGAGUGACGGUAAUGGGUAAAGAAGCACCGGCUAACUACGUG
rnacentral:rRNA from 1 species